AAGGGUCUGCACUCCCCUUUCUCCUACAUACUCCAAAUUGAGAAAACCCUAACCCAUCUACAAAAACUACAGCCGCCACCUACAACACCUGCAACCCCACCCUCUUCCUUCGAUCUGUGUAAACGACCACCACCACCACCACCGUCUGGUGGUGGCGCGACGACGAAACAGAGAAUCGGAAGAGACGACAAGAGAGAGAGAGGGGGGUAAUAGGCUGUAGUUCGACGGCGUACGACGGCGGUGGAGUCGUCUACAGCGGCGACGGUGGCGGGGUUUUAUUUCAUUCCAUCAGGGUCGUCGGUUCAGGUCAGAUUUACGCUCAACAGCGGAUUAAAAUUCAUGGCUCGGGUCUCAACAUCAGUUGGUUCAAGCUUCAGGUGGUUCACUCCGGUUCGGGUUCGUCCGAGUUUAGUUUCAUUCGGUUUCGACUAGCAUCGGCCCAGGUGGUUUGGUGCUUGUUUGUUUUCGGGUCUCGGUCAAAACGGGUCAGUGGUGGUGCUUGGCCCGGGUUUCAUCUUGGUUCACAUUAGGUCACGGUUCGAGUACGAGUAGUUCCAGUUCCGGGUCAGCAGCGGUUCGGAUGUCGGUUCAGUUUCGAGUCUCGGUUCAAAACUGGUGCGACUAGUUUCGGCUCGAGUCACACCAGUGGGCUCAGUUCGCAACGGAAAUCAUCUCUAUGUUUCGGGCGAUUUGGUCAUUUGCCUCACCUCGUAUGCUCGUGCGGUAAUUCUCGUGGAUUGUUUCCUACGUAACCAGAAUACAUGGGAGUUACUAUUCUAUCUCAAAGAAUCGCAGGGGAGUAGCGACUUGCUAGUUGAUUGGGCUUUGUGUUUCUUAAAUAUUGGUGUUUACUUUUAGAUUUUGUUUUGUCGGGUUCAAUGGUGGUAUACUCAUUUUGUGGUUAUUAGAGUAACUCUAUUUGUCGAUGCAAUGUUCGCUCCUCUAUUACAGUUAAAUACUAGCAUAGCAUAAGCUAAACCCAAAAUUU
rnacentral:lncRNA from 1 species